CAGGCCUAACACAUGCAAGUCGAACGGGGUCUUCGGACCCAGUGGCGAACGGCGGAGUAAUACAUAAGCAACGUGCCCUAAAGACUGGGAUAAUCAUUGGAAACGAUGGGUAAUACCAGAUGUGGUCUUCUCUUGGCAUCUUGGGAAGAUUAAACGGUUUUUCGCUUUAGGAGCGGCUUAUGGCCUAUCAGGUAGUUGGUGGGGUAACAGCCUACCAAGCCGACGACGGGUAGCGGGUCUGAGAGGAUGAUCCGCUCGAGUGGGACUGAGACACGGCCCACACACCUACGGGUGGCAGCAGUUGGGAAUCUUGCACAAUGGGGGAAACCCUGAUGCAGCGACGCCGCGUGGAGGAUGAAGGGUCUAGGCCUGUAAACUCCUUUUGACGGGAAAGACUUAGGACGGUACCCGUUGAAUAAGGACCGGCUAACUACGUGCCAGCAGCCGCGGUAAGACGUAGGGUCCAAGCGUUGUCCGGAUUUACUGGGCGUAAAGAGCGCGUAGGCGGUCUGUUAAGUGUGAAGUGAAAUCUCCAGGGCUCAACCCGGAAACUGCUUCGCAUACUGGCAGACUGGAGGGAUGCAGAGGUUUGUGGAAUUCCUGGUGUAGCGGUGAUAUGCAUAGAUAGCAGGAGGAACACCCAUGGCGAAGGCAGCAAACUGGGCAUCAUCUGACGCUGAGGCGCGAAAGCGUGGGUAGCAAACAGGAUUAGAUACCCUGGUAGUCCACGCCCUAAACGAUGGAUACUAG
rnacentral:rRNA from 1 species